rnacentral:rRNA from 1 species
GAUGCAGCAACGCCGCGUGAGUGAUGAAGGCCUUCGGGUCGUAAAACUCUGUCCUCAAGGAAGAUAAUGACGGUACUUGAGGAGGAAGCCCCGGCUAACUACGUGCCAGCAGCCGCGGUAAUACGUAGGGGGCUAGCGUUAUCCGGAUUUACUGGGCGUAAAGGGUGCGUAGGCGGUCUUUCAAGUCAGGAGUGAAAGGCUACGGCUCAACCGUAGUAAGCUCUUGAAACUGGGAGACUUGAGUGCAGGAGAGGAGAGUGGAAUUCCUAGUGUAGCGGUGAAAUGCGUAGAUAUUAGGAGGAACACCAGUUGCGAAGGCGGCUCUCUGGACUGUAACUGACGCUGAGGCACGAAAGCGUGGGGAGCAAACAGGAUUAGAUACCCUGGUAGUCCACGCUGUAAACGAUGAGUACUAGGUGUCGGGGGUUACCCCCUUCGGCGCCGC